GAGCGCGAUCGGCACGGGCGUGUCGACCGUUGGCGUCGGGCGAGCCUGCCAGUCGGCGGCCAUCGAUCGCAUGGAUGUCGUGCGCACC
rnacentral:tRNA from 1 species